AUUGAACGCUGGCGGCAGGCCUAACACAUGCAAGUCGAACGAGUGGCGGACGGGUGAGUAAUGUCUGGGAAACUGCCCGAUGGAGGGGGAUAACUACUGGAAACGGUAGCUAAUACCGCAUACCAUCGGAUGUGCCCAGAUGGGAUUAGCUAGUAGGUGGGGUAACGGCUCACCUAGGCGACGAUCCCUAGCUGGUCUGAGAGGCUGACCAGCCCCACUGGCACUGGGGAACGAUCAAGGCGCCAACGUGAGGAAGCAGUGGGGGUUAGUGCGCGAUGGGCGACACGCUGGUGGAGCACCGCCGCGUGCGGGAGGUCGGCCUUCGGGUAGUAAACCGCUUUCAGCCAUGACGCGGUAGUGGCAGAAGAAGCACCGGCUAACUACGUGCCAGCAGCCGCGGUAAUUC
rnacentral:rRNA from 1 species